rnacentral:piRNA from 1 species
UGUUCCAGGAAUACUACCAGAUUAUGCUUCC